rnacentral:rRNA from 1 species
GACGAACGCUGGCGGCGUGCUUAACACAUGCAAGUCGAGCGGUAAGGCCCUUUCGGGGGUACACGAGCGGCGAACGGGUGAGUAACACGUGGGUGACCUGCCCUUAGCUCUGGGAUAAGCCUGGGAAACUGGGUCUAAUACCGGAUAUGAUUCCAUGACGCAUGUUGUGGGGUGGAAAGCCUUGUGCGGCUAGGGGAUGGGCCCGCGGCCUAUCAGCUUGUUGGUGGGGUGAUGGCCUACCAAGGCGACGACGGGUAGCCGGCCUGAGAGGGCGACCGGCCACACUGGGACUGAGACACGGCCCAGACUCCUACGGGAGGCAGCAGUGGGGAAUCUUGCGCAAUGGGCGAAAGCCUGACGCAGCGACGCCGCGUGGGGAUGACGGCCUCGG